rnacentral:tRNA from 1 species
GGAGGGUUGUCCGAGUGGCCUAAGGAGACGGUUUGCUAAACCGUUGCUGCGAAAGCGGCACGUGGGUUCGAAUCCCACACCCUCCGCCA